AUUGAACGCUGGCGGCAGGCCUAACACAUGCAAGUCGAGCGGAUGACGGGAGCUUGCUCCUUGACUCAGCGGCGGACGGGUGAGUAAUGCCUAGGAAUCUGCCUGGUAGUGGGGGACAACGUUCCGAAAGGGGCGCUAAUACCGCAUACGUCCUACGGGAGAAAGUGGGGGAUCUUCGGACCUCACGCUAUCAGAUGAGCCUAGGUCGGAUUAGCUAGUUGGUGAGGUAAAGGCUCACCAAGGCGACGAUCCGUAACUGGUCUGAGAGGAUGAUCAGUCACACUGGGACUGAGACACGGUCCAGACUCCUACGGGAGGCAGCAGUGGGGAAUAUUGGACAAUGGGCGAAAGCCUGAUCCAGCCAUGCCGCGUGUGUGAAGAAGGUCUUCGGAUUGUAAAGCACUUUAAGUUGGGAGGAAGGGCAGUAAGUUAAUACCUUGCUGUUUUGACGUUACCGACAGAAUAAGCACCGGCUAACUCUGUGCCAGCCGCCGCCGUAAGAC
rnacentral:rRNA from 1 species